CUAAAACAAUUCAGAUGACUAAAACUAAAUUGAAAUUUGCCGUCAAACUUAACACUGAAUUAAACAUAUAUCCCAAUGGUCCGUUAAUUAGGGAGGAACAUUAAUCCUCACCCUACCAAACGGAAGAGAGUGAUUAUGACAUACCAAAUAAACCACCAUUAAUGAGAAACAAAUCAAACUACACAUAAAAUAAAAAGUAAAGCAUAGUGAAGAAUAAUAAGAAAUAGGAAACAAAAUUAACACAAGAUGAAUAAACACACACCUAGAGUGAUGCUUAAUGAAACAUACAUAGUUUGUAGGCAUGUGAAGUGCAAACAUAUCAAUGCUAUAAUAGCUAAACAGUGAAUUCAAUACAGCAGUCAAAAGCUGAAUUACUACAUAUUGCUGGAACUAACUAUGACUGCACAAAUACAAAUGUUAUAAAACACAAGUUAGUAGAAGAAAGAAACAAACUAAGUUUUACAAAAAAGCAAUGAUAUAGUACUUGUAGCGGAGCGCUAGUUUAACAUAGACUUUCCUCCACUGGUAUUCCAAUAGUUACUCAGGAGAAAGCAGGAUAUUACAAGAAAAAGUCACCAGAGAGAACUGGCUGAUAUUUCUUGACAAUCUUACGUAUUUCUCCAUAUCAUAAGCUAUAAUCAGUAAUAAACAAAGACAAUGUCGUUAGCUUUGGGUACAUUAUGCUCCAAAAGGGCGACUAUCUGUUCAUAAGGUACACCAAAAUGCUUUGUCUAGAAUUUCAGUAGUAAACAAAGAACAAAUAAGUUGUCAAACCAAUUUUGGCAGGUCCCCCUCCCACUCUCCUACCUCAGUCUGUCCACUUCUAACCCCUUUCCUCCCGUUACUGCCCCUAAAUUACUUUAUCUCAUCUCCAUAAAUCAAUUAUCACCAUCACCCCUCAAAACAUCACCAUUUUCUGAUCUCUAUGGAUGAUGAGUAAUUUCAGAACACAUUGCAUUCUAGCAGAUCUGUCACCACCAUCCCCUCCCCCCAAUAAAAUCAGUAUUUCAUAAUGAUACAAUCUUUUUUGAAACACUCACAUUGAUUGUGUUGGAAGUUCACUGAAAUUCCAAUGCAGUAAAAAGAUUUCAUAAGACAAACUAGAGACUGCAACGUCUUGUGUAUUUUUUUCCUUCCGCUUGACAAAAGGUGGAGCUAUCACCGUCUAGUUUUGUCCAUUCCCCUAUCCUCUAAAAACCUCAAUGUUGUACUCUCGCAGAUGUACAAGAGUAUGGCAGUGUCAUGGGUUCCUGGCAGAUGAAGUGCCAGGAGCUUUAGUGUUCGUGGCUGCCAACAUCUUCAUCCUGGUUCCUCGGAUGGAGAUAGUGGUAGCCAUGAAAGACAGCUUUAAGUAUGUAAAACCUAUCUUUGCUUGCACUCCCAGGCCACUGCACUCAAAGCGGUGAUACCACCAUCGAUGGUCAUUGCAAAAUACGCAAAGACCCCAAAACAUUACAGAGCUACUUUAAAGGAGAAUGCCUUGACAUGUCCUAAGCUGUCCGAGUCUACAAAGAGGGGAAAAAAAGAAAUUUUGUGAACAGGUGUUCCAUCUUUAAUAAAAAAGAAAAACUACUGAGAAGGUGGAGUACUAAGUCAUAAACAGUGUUUAAC
rnacentral:lncRNA from 1 species